AGCGAGAUAGAAACAGAGAAUCAGAAAAACACAGCGCACACAAUUAAAAUAAGGUGCCUAAUGUUUGGAUGUUUGGCCCCCAAUUAGUCGGACGUUUAAGCGAUAAGAAAUAAGAGAGAAAAUAGCCGCUAAAAAGAAUAGCAAUACCUUGGCCGAAGAAAGCACAACGAAAGAACAAGAAUCAAGGAGAGAGAGAGAGAGAGAAGCCAACAACAAAACCCAUCAAAUUUGGUAAACCCCUAUUCAAAAAAUUCCCAAUCCAUGAUCAGCGGAGAGCAGCAAUUUACCUCCAAGCCAGUACUAUGGUAAUAUCACUCGGUACGAUGGGCCUCGUGCCCCUGCCACAUCGAAAAAUCGCCAUGCAUCCAAGAUUGUAAAUAAAAAUAUUUAUUAAAUUCCCCCCUCAAGAAAAUGCACAAGAAACUUGAGAUAAGAGCCUGAUAAAAACAAAAAAAAAAAUUAAAAGAAAUAAAAGAAGUAAAAGAGAGGGGGAAGGAAGGAUAGAAGGAGGAGGAGCACCCCACCCCCACCCACCGCCAUACAAAUGAGGGUGCAACAGGUUGACCACCUAACAACAACAACAACAAAGAGAUAAAAUAAUAAUAAAAAAAAAACGAAAAUAAAAAAAGCAACAAACUAACCGCA
rnacentral:sRNA from 1 species